rnacentral:tRNA from 1 species
ACCGGGUUGGCUCAGUGGGUAGAGCAGGCGCACAUAUAUGCCUCGACGCAUAGGUCCAGGGUUCGAAUCCGACCUGUGA